rnacentral:rRNA from 1 species
GUAGGGUGCGAGCGUUAAUCGGAAUUACUGGGCGUAAAGCGUGCGCAGGCCGUUUUGCAAGACAGGCGUGAAAUCCCCGGGCUCAACCUGGGAACUGCGUUUGUGACUGCAAGACUAGAGUACGGCAGAGGGGGGUAGAAUUCCACGUGUUGCAGUGAAAUGCGUAGAGAUGUGGAGGAAUACCGAUGGCGAAGGCAGCCCCCUGGGCCAGUACUGACGCUCAUGCACGAAAGCGUGGGGAGCAAACAGGAUUAGAUACCCUGGUAGUCCACGCCCUAAACGAUGUCAACUAGGUGUUGGGUGGGUAAAACCAUUUAGUACCGGAGCUAACGCGUGAAGUUGACCGCCUGGGGAGUACGGCCGCAAGGUUA